AGUGAACGCUGGCGGUAGGCCUAACACAUGCAAGUCGAGCGGCAGCACAGUAAGAGCUUGCUCUUACGGGUGGCGAGUGGCGGACGGGUGAGGAAUACAUCGGAAUCUACUUUUUCGUGGGGGAUAACGUAGGGAAACUUACGCUAAUACCGCAUACGACCUACGGGUGAAAGCAGGGGAUCUUCGGACCUUGCGCGAUUGAAUGAGCCGAUGUCGGAUUAGCUAGUUGGCGGGGUAAAGGCCCACCAAGGCGACGAUCCGUAGCUGGUCUGAGAGGAUGAUCAGCCACACUGGAACUGAGACACGGUCCAGACUCCUACGGGAGGCAGCAGUGGGGAAUAUUGGACAAUGGGCGCAAGCCUGAUCCAGCCAUACCGCGUGGGUGAGGAAGGCCUUCGGGUUGUAAAGCCCUUUUGUUGGGAAAGAAAAGCAGCAGGUUAAUACCCCGCUGUUCUGACGGUACCCAAAGAAUAAGCACCGGCUAACUUCGUG
rnacentral:rRNA from 1 species